UACGGAGGGUGCGAGCGUUGUCCGGAAUCACUGGGCGUAAAGGGCGCGUAGGUGGCCCGUUAAGUGGCUGGUGAAAUCCCGCGGCUCAACUGCGGGGCUGCCGGUCAUACUGGCGAGCUAGAGCACGGUAGGGGCAGAUGGAAUUCCUGGUGUAGCGGUGAAAUGCGCAGAUAUCAGGAGGAACACCGGUGGCGAAGGCGGGUCUCUGGGCCGUAACUGACGCUGAGGAGCGAAAGCAUGGGGAGCGAACAGG
rnacentral:rRNA from 1 species